CAACUGAUCGGCUGGGUCUUCUUUUGUUGCCCUGAACAGUAGAACAUAACUGGAAAGCAGCCAUCAACCUUGCAAGGUGUCCAAGAUUCCCAAGAUUCUAGCAUCUCACCAGAGAUCUCACAAGACUUCAACCUGCUUUCACCUCUGCUGAAAUUUAGUGUUACAUCUGACCAUGGGCUGUCCCAGUCUGGCCUGCGGCAGCGAACAACAUCACUGGUCAUAUCCUGGACUACAUAUCAAACCCACAAAUACGUAGCCCAAUCACAAAAACAGGUGGCCACUCUUAUGGCCUGUGUUUUCCUUUCAAGCAAUUAAUUCCAGACAUUUCUAGAAAGAAAAGCUCAAGUUCCAUCGACUGAGAAGGGCAUUUUGGCAGCCACUCAGCUCACGGAUGACAGUAUCAGGCUAAAACAUAAAAUAACCUAAAAUGGUAAAAAGCAACUUCCUGUGGUCUCUGAAUAUCAAAGCCAAACUUUAAGGACAGGCAACAGUGAUGGGCACUUUUCUGCUCCUCCUUAUGUUUGUUUGUUUGUUAUUUCCUGACCAGCACUUUUAGAUAAUAAGAACUUAGGGAGCUGUGAUCCAUAUACACUGCAUUCUCGAACUUCUGGAAGAGACCACAUUUAUUAAUGAUCAUAAAUAAAUACCAACUUCCAUCGACACAACAUUCCCGGGCCGUCUCUUUGCAGUUGAAGAAAUGUCAGAUAAAAUGAAGAAACUGGGGUGCUGCUUAUAUUCUGAUCCAUUCAGAGGCUAAGCAUCUCACCACAUCUCUUGAGACCUGGACAGCUUCUGAUUCCCCCAGAUUAACACAAUCCAGUUUAAGCAAUCAACAAUCACUUAGUUGCAAUCGCCAAGCUCGCAACCUCCUAAAAUGGGAAAUGUUGGAAUCUCACAACACUGCUGGCAGGUUAUAUCUACACUAAAUGCAUGCCAGUUUGGGCAGAUUUAACUAUACUGGUGAAUACCUUUGGGCAGGUGCCUUUUUAGAUAACCAAGUUCCUCCAUCUGACUCUUUAACAACAAUAUCAACCACAGAAACAUGCAUUCCACUCGGGCAUCAAAUUAGGUGAAUCCAAUGGGAUUCAUUCCAAGCCAAUAACAUUUGUGCUGGGUGACAGAAAUGCUUUACUAUUUUGUUCUACCUACUUUUUCAAAACUUUUUUUCUAAAAACUUCUUACUCAUGAGGAAGCCGAGCUUCCAAAUCCUUCAAGCCGUUUCGGUGUCAACCCGCUUUCCUUAUCCUUGAAAACACUUGCACACAUCUAGCAUUAGUGAAUAAUGUGAGGGAGCCACUAACUGUCUGGGAAUUUAUGGAUUCUUUUCCACCCUGAAUCAGACACCAAAACUUAAAAUUCUACAAUAUUUGAGUUAUUCAAAAAUAAUAAGCACCACUUCUCAAAACAUCUUUCUCUUGCCUAAUAAAUGAGCCUAAUAAUCUGUUUUUUAUUUCUCAGUGUGUGUUUUUUAUUUCGAAAGGUAUUCAAAUUCAUAAAUCUAAACAAAGCAUUAUACUUGUACAAGAGGUUCAAUUUUUUUAAACUUCAAGUAUUUUUUUACAUUGUUAAAAUGUUACUUUUUUUUACUCGUGUAAUUAUGUAAGAUCGAUCAUAAUAAAAGUGAAUUUUUUAACACU